rnacentral:rRNA from 1 species
UACGAAGGGGGCUAGCGUUGUUCGGAUUUACUGGGCGUAAAGCGCACGUAGGCGGGCUAAUAAGUCAGAGGUGAAAUCCCGGGGCUCAACCCCGGAACUGCCUUUGAUACUGUUAGUCUUGAGUAUGGAAGAGGUGAGUGGAAUUCCGAGUGUAGAGGUGAAAUUCGUAGAUAUUCGGAGGAACACCAGUGGCGAAGGCGGCUCACUGGUCCAUUACUGACGCUGGGGUGCGAAAGCGUGGGGAGCAAACAGG